rnacentral:rRNA from 1 species
GGAAGCAGCUUGCUGCUUUGCUGACGAGUGGCGGACGGGUGAGUAAUGUCUGGGAAACUGCCUGAUGGAGGGGGAUAACUACUGGAAACGGUGGCUAAUACCGCAUAACGUCGCAAGACCAAAGAGGGGGACCUUCUGGCCUCUUGCCAUCAGAUGUGCCCAGAUGGGAUUAGCUUGUUGGUGAGGUAACGGCUCACCAAGGCGACGAUCCCUAGCUGGUCUGAGAGGAUGACCAGCCACACUGGAACUGAGACACGGUCCAGACUCCUACGGGAGGCAGCAGUGGGGAAUAUUGCACAAUGGGCGCAAGCCUGAUGCAGCCAUGCCGCGUGUAUGAAGAAGGCCUUCGGGUUGUAAAGUACUUUCAGCGGGGAGGAAGGUGUUGUGGUUAAUAACCGCAGCAAUUGACGUUACCCGCAGAAGAAGCACCGGCUAACUCCGUGCCAGCAGCCGCGGUAAUACGGAGGGUGCAAGCGUUAAUCGGAAUUACUGGGCGUAAAGCGCACGCAGGCGGUCUGUCAAGUCGGAUGUGAAAUCCCCGGGCUCAACCUGGGAACUGCAUUCGAAACUGGCAGGCUUGAGUCUUGUAGAGGGGGGUAGAAUUCCAGGUGUAGCGGUGAAAUGCGUAGAGAUCUGGAGGAAUACCGGUGGCGAAGGCGGCCCCCUGGACAAAGACUGACGCUCAGGUGCGAAAGCGUGGGGAGCAAACAGGAUUAGAUACCCUGGUAGUCCACGCCGUAAACGAUGUCUACUUGGAGGUUGUGCCCUUGAGGCGUGGCUUCCGGAGCUAACGCGUUAAGUAGACCGCCUGGGGAGUACGGCCGCAAGGUUAAAACUCAAAUGAAUUGACGGGGGCCCGCACAAGCGGUGGAGCAUGUGGUUUAAUUCGAUGCAACGCGAAGAACCUUACCUGGUCUUGACAUCCACGGAAGAAUUCAGAGAUGGAUUUGUGCCUUCGGGAACCGUGAGACAGGUGCUGCAUGGCUGUCGUCAGCUCGUGUUGUGAAAUGUUGGGUUAAGUCCCGCAACGAGCGCAACCCUUAUCCUUUGUUGCCAGCGGUCCGGCCGGGAACUCAAAGGAGACUGCCAGUGAUAAACUGGAGGAAGGUGGGGAUGACGUCAAGUCAUCAUGGCCCUUACGACCAGGGCUACACACGUGCUACAAUGGCGCAUACAAAGAGAAGCGACCUCGCGAGAGCAAGCGGACCUCAUAAAGUGCGUCGUAGUCCGGAUUGGAGUCUGCAACUCGACUCCAUGAAGUCGGAAUCGCUAGUAAUCGUGGAUCAGAAUGCCACGGUGAAUACGUUCCCGGGCCUUGUACACACCGCCCGUCACACCAUGGGAGUGGGUUGCAAAAGAAGUAGGUAGCUUAACCUUCGGGAGGGCGCUUACCACUUUGUGAUUCAUGACUGGGGUGAAGUCGUAACAAGGUAACCGUAGGGGAACCUGC